rnacentral:lncRNA from 1 species
UGUGUUGUGUUUUUCAUAUUGGAUCCUUCUUAUUUUAUUUUCUAAUGGGUUUUUGUUCUCUUUGUUUUUGUUUCAAUUUCUUUAAAAAAACAAAUCGCACGCCUCCUGCAUUGGCCAUCUGCUGCGGCACCAACCCCUUCAUGCACUGCCCUUUCCUUGCUGCCGUGUGGGGAUGGCGCCCGCGCCACCCUUGCUCACCCUCCAUCUCUUGACCAUUCUCCAUGUCCUUGCAUCUCUGCCUUCCACUUCCUGCUCAUAGACGAGCUGUAUGCUCAGAAACUGAAGUACAAGGCCAUCAGCGAGGAGCUGGACCACGCUCUCAACGAUAUGACUUCCAUGUAAAUGUUCAUGCACCCUGCCUGCUUGCUCCCUCCCCCUCAUGCUUGUGUGAUGACCUCACCGUGGCUCCCUUCUCUGUCCGUGGUCCUCAUUUCUGCACCUUUUGUUGGCUUUCUUCAAUAACCUAGGAUAGAUUUUCUUUUUUCACAUUGUACUAACAAAGGCCAAGUAGAUUCGGCCCAUGCAAACCAUUUCAAGAUCCUUUUAUUUCAUAUAUGCAGAUCUAGCUUGUUUCUGCAGAGAGAUGAACUGGACUCUAAAUGGGCCCUGAGUAUCUCCUUUUAAAACCUUAAACCAGAUUCAAGUAAAACUAGGAAGCCCUGAUGCAGUGGUGCAGGAAGUUAGGGAGAAAUCCCAGGUUGUUUCCUGGGAUUCUUUGAGGUACAGUAGGGUCGUUUCCAGUUAAAACUGCAAGUUUAAAGUAUCAGAUUAUUGAGGAUCUGAAGUAAAGGAAAUGGGCAACGGCCCAGUAAAAAUCUCUCCUUCCCUUGUUAUGAAUUCCAGAGCAGGGCUGGGCAUUGGGGUACAUGCCUCUUGUCCUACCACGUGGAAAGCAGAAGCAGGUGUAUAUCUCUGAGUUUGAGGCCAGACUAGUCCCUGGCAUGCUACAGACCAGCCAGGGCUAUCUAGACAGACCCUGUCUU